UAGGCCAAUGAAGUUCCACGUGAGAGA
rnacentral:piRNA from 1 species